GCGGCCGCGGGAGUUGUAACAGGACUGGACUCCCGGCGGCCCCAGGGCAGGGGCGUGGGGAGCUGGUCCUAGCUCAGCGCUCCCGGAGGUGGAGCUUCUGCAGGCUGGGU
rnacentral:pre_miRNA from 2 species